CUAAUACAUGCAAGUCGAACGCUGGAGAUCUAGCUUGCUAGAUCGAAGGAGUGGCGAACGGGUGAGUAAUACAUAAGCAACCUACCCACGAAGACUGGGAUAAUCUCUGGAAACGGGGACUAAUACCGGAUAGGUAAUCGGAAGGCAUCUUCUGAUUAUUAAAGGUUAAAAACACUGGUGGAUGGGCUUAUGGCGCAUUAGUUAGUUGGUGAGGUAACGGCCCACCAAGACGAUGAUGCGUAGCCGGCCUGAGAGGGUGAACGGCCACAUUGGGACUGAGACACGGCCCAGACUCCUACGGGAGGCAGCAGUAGGGAAUUUUCGGCAAUGGGGGAAACCCUGACCGAGCAACGCCGCGUGAGUGAUGACGGCCUUCGGGUUGUAAAGCUCUGUUGUAAGGGAAGAACGGUAGAUAGAGAAUAUCUAAGUGACGGUACCUUACCAGAAAGCCACGGCUAACUACGUGCCAGCAGCCGCGGUAAUACGUAGGUGGCGAGCGUUAUCCGGAAUUAUUGGGCGUAAAGGGUGCGUAGGCGGCCUGUUAAGUAAGUGGUUAAAUCGUUGGGCUCAACCCAAUCCAGCCACUUAAACUGGCAGGCUAGAGUAUUGGAGAGGCAAGUGGAAUUCCAUGUGUAGCGGUAAAAUGCGUAGAUAUAUGGAGGAACACCAGUGGCGAAGGCGGCUUGCUAGCCAAAGACUGACGCUCAUGCACGAAAGCGUGGG
rnacentral:rRNA from 1 species